CAGUAGCCGCGGUAAUACGUAGGGUGCAAGCGUUAAUCGGAAUUACUGGGCGUAAAGCGUGCGCAGGCGGUUCGUUAAGACAGAUGUGAAAUCCCCGGGCUUAACCUGGGAACUGCAUUUGUGACUGGCGGGCUAGAGUAUGGCAGAGGGGGGUAGAAUUCCACGUGUAGCAGUGAAAUGCGUAGAGAUGUGGAGGAAUACCGAUGGCGAAGGCAGCCCCCUGGGCCAAUACUGACGCUCAUGCACGAAAGCGUGGGGAGCAAACAGGAUUAGAUACCCCGGUAGUCCCUGUCUCUUAUAC
rnacentral:rRNA from 1 species